GCAAAAUUAAUAGGUGUUGCUUUCCGUAAUUGUUACCUCAACAUUUAGAGAACAAAAACGAGUUUAAUGGAGUCGAACCAAGCCAAACCCGGCCUACUGUGCAACCAUGAAGCCUCUCAGAGAACUCCGUAUUCUAUUCACACACUUUCUCGCUUUUCUCAUUUUUAUUGUUAAAUUUAUGAUGCGUAUUUUUGGUAUGUGUAUACCUUAUGGUAUUUGGGGUUUUGGGGAUUUUGCUUUCUAUAUGACAUUUCAAUCCUUUAAUUCUUUUUUUUAAAAUAUAAUUUUUUGAAGGUACCCAUAUGUAACUGGUACAUCUGUGGUGGCUCUGAAGUACAAAGAUGGAAUUUUGAUGGCUGCUGAUAUGGGAGGUUCUUAUGGG